rnacentral:lncRNA from 1 species
AAGAAUACAAUACCAACAUGACAUGAACAAAUAAAUUUCUAAAUUAAAUUACUACGAAAAAUAUAUAAAACAUAUCAUAAAAUCACAAGUCCAUAAACAUCUCUAAAUUCGCAUAGAAGGAAUGAUAGAAAAAAAAAACACAAUAUUAACAGGUUGAGAAAAAUAUCAAAAACAAUUUUUAUCCAUAAAAAAAAUGGCGUGUAAGCCAAAGGAGAUAACGAUUCCCUUAAUUUUUUUUAUUAAGCUGGGCUUUUCAUAAAAGAAACAAAGCACAACAAAAGCAACAGAAAAAGUCCCAAAAUAAAACGAACCAAGCCCAAACAGAAAGGAAACCUAAAAAAGCCUAAAAGAAAGUCCAAUGAAAACAGCUCCCAAACACGCAACAACCAGGAUAGCACCGAACAAGAACAAGGAGCUGUUCAGAAAAUCCUUUGGAAAGCACUACCCAUAGCCAAAGAGUUGCUCCCAAAACCAAACAAAAUCAUCUAUGAUAGUGGCUCAAACCCUAUUGAAGGAGGCACCAUCACUGGAAAAACAAAGAUCCCGACACACAUAGAGAUCCAGAAUCCUGUCCGAGAGUCAACGAAAACACCUGCAAACAUCAAGAAACCAUCGAGACUCCCAAGCUUCCCCCAAUAAAACCAGAUCCCGACCGCCGCGAAGCUAACCAGCAUGAGGUCUCAGGGAGGAGGUCGGCUCCCCCAAACACAUACCGCGUCGAUCCGUCUCCACGGCCAGAAGAGCGAACUCUGGGAUCCCCCCCCCCCCUUCUUUGAAUAACACGGCCCUCACCCCGAAGGCCCUUAGUAGCCAACAGGUGGGCCACAGAGUUUCCCUCAUGGGGAACAUGCAGGAACCGACACAAAUGGAACUGCCCGAUCAAGCCCUUGAUAUAACUGAUGUAAUAGCCGAUUCGUCAUGAUGAUGAGAAUAAAGUUUACGAGUCACAGUCAGAGAGUCUCCUACAAAGAUUACCUCUUGUAAGCCCAAUUCGAGACCCAAUCGUAUAGCAUGGUAGCAGGCCAGAGCUUCCGCAGCAAAAGCAGAAGGUAUGCGCGUGGUUACUACUGAUGUGUAGCCAACUACGGAACCAAGAUUAUCCCUAAUAACAAUCCCCGCACAGGUCAUCAACGUAGGCGCGUGGAAAGCAUCAUCAAAGUUCACUUUUAAGCAAGAACCUUCAGGAUCAAUGCUCAGGUCCAAUCAGACGUCCAGGUAGCUUCGCAUGCACCGCGUCAAACUCCAACAGGUAAGACCGCACUCUACAGAUAAUCCCCUGAAUUUGAACAAUUGCAUUUUCAUGCACUCGCCUAUUCCUGACAUGCCAAAUUAACCACAGAGUACACACCACUGAUCUGGAAACAGAAAUGCUAUGCACAAUAAAAUCAUAUAGCAACCAAUCCUGAAAGGAAACAUCAGUCAAUUCACUAGGCCAUGUAACAUGCAGCUCUGCCCAAACACGCGAUGUCGAAAUGUAGUCCCGAAAAAUAUGUUCCAACGUUUUAGCCGAGGCCAUGCACCAAGGGCAUAGUCGUGAUGCGCGAAUCCGCUUGUUGUAAGAUUGUAAUAGCUAGGAAUAAAAUUAUGAAAAAUACGUCACGCUGUUAUUUUUAUUCUUGCCGAAAGUUGCAUCUUCCACAGUUUGUUGUAAAUGUCUAAUGUUGUAAAGAGCCGUAGCCAUUGCACACUGAAUAGUCCCACGAAACUCAGUGCACUACACCAUAAAGUCUGCAUGAGCAACCCGAGAUAGGGGUAUACACAACACCUAGUCUGCUAAAGUCCUGCCCAACACACUGGUAAGCCUUUGCGUAUCCCACUGUCUCGUAGUUUGAUCGAUAAAGUCUAAAACAAAGAGGGCCGAGAAAAUAACUCCCAUGUGUUUUAAAUGGCGACCAGGUAAACCCGGGAUCCACACAUCGUCCAAGACCAAAAUACUUGUUCCUACACCCACACACCAAUUGAGACCCAAUCGCAACAACCCCUUAACAGCCC